CCACAUUCAGUUUUAAUUGUGACUGACUUUGUUUAUUUAACUCUUCAGUCUUUCGUACAAUUUCGUAGAUUAUAAAUGUAGCAUUAGCCGAUAUCAGAUACAAAAAAGUAUCGCAUCACUUCGUUCGUAUCUCGAGUUGUUGUUGAGUGUAUUAACUUUAGCCAUUUAGACAUAUAGUCGUACUUUAAUGUUUGCUUAAAUGAAAUUCAAACUUUUGGUUUUCAGUUGCUUAUCGCACUCUGAAAUAUUAGCUUGUCUUGUACAUAAGAGUUGUGUGAAUAUGUGCAAACACUGCAUGUACUCGAAAGUACAUAAUAGAAAUAUUUGAAACUCCCAUGGAGAACAACCGUUUAAACAGAGAAACUAUUUUUAUAACUCACUCAAUCUCAUUCAAAUCAUAUAUAACAUUACAUAGAUCCGAUCAAGAAAUACAUAAGCGACAAAGCGCUGAAGCUAUAUGCGAAAAUCGACAGGCUUUCUAAUCGCAGGGUAAUCACCAACCGCACGGGGCGGUACGCAGAUCUUAGAUCAGUCAUUAAAUAAUCACGAAGCUUAUAACGAAUACACAAAUUAGUCAAUGAGAUGGGUGGGACUCUGCGGAAACCUCCCAACUAUAAAAGAGUAACAGUGCCCUGACGCACUAACUCGGAAAAGGCUCAAAAUAAACAUAGACUAAUCUAAGUAGUUUACUCAACUAAGUAAUGAAAAUUGCCUUCAAAGCAUUGUUAAAGAAAAAAAUUAUAAUAAUUUAAUGAUUUGACCGAAUGGGCCAGGUUUAUAAUACUUGACUGAAUGAGCCAGGUUUUGAAUAAGCCAGCGUACUUGUCAUUUUCAAAGUGAAAUUCCAAGCCCUCGAUCAUAUCAAAUGUGCGUUCUUUUAUACAGAAUAUGCCGGAGCUUUUUGGUGUAGUGCACCGGUAUAUUUGCCGUUGAUAUGCCUGCUGUAUAUUUUGUACCAUUUGUGUUAUUUUUUGUGCUUUUUGUGUACUUUGUCUAGUUUGUGUUUU